rnacentral:rRNA from 1 species
UGGGGAAUUUUGGACAAUGGGCGCAAGCCUGAUCCAGCAAUGCCGCGUGCAGGAUGAAGGCCUUCGGGUUGUAAACUGCUUUUGUACGGAACGAAAAGGCUCUGGUUAAUACCUGGGGCUCAUGACGGUACCGUAAGAAUAAGCACCGGCUGACUACGUGCCAGCAGCCGCGGUAAUACGUAGGGUGCGAGCGUUAAUCGGAAUUACUGGGCGUAAAGCGUGCGCAGGCGGUUAUAUAAGACAGGUGUGAAAUCCCCGGGCUCAACCUGGGACCUGCAUUUGUGACUGUAUAGCUAGAGUACGGUAGAGGGGGAUGGAAUUCCGCGUGUAGCAGUGAAAUGCGUAGAUAUGCGGAGGAACACCGAUGGCGAAGGCAAUCCCCUGGACCUGUACUGACGCUCAUGCACGAAAGCGUGGGGAGCAAACA